GGGCCCGUAGCUCAGCCAGGUAGAGCAUCGGGCUUUUAACCCGAGGGUCUGGUUCACACCACCUAUGCGGGUUCGACUCCCGUCGGGCCCG
rnacentral:tRNA from 1 species